rnacentral:lncRNA from 1 species
GCACAUUGCAGUCAACAAUGGACGAGGACGUCCAAUCCUCUGAGAUUCCCGCAGACACCAGCACAGGUUCCUCAGAGGAGAUGAGGGCGGAGCUGCUGGAUGAAUGUGAGGAACAGUUUGGACUAUUGCAAAAGCUUCAGAACGAGAUCAUUUUAGCAGACCCAGACUGCAGUGAUGGAGAAUCAAACGAGCAGGUCUCAUCGCUGCGUGGUAGUGGGCGGGCCAUGAAUCGUCUGAAUGCCAUCAGUACGGAGCUUGAGCAGUGGCAAGAAAUGGAACCUAAAUUGCUGUCCACAAACCCUGAAAUUCUAUUGGCUCUUGGGAAGGAAGAGCUGCAAAGGCUAAACAGUCAGCUGAAGAUGGUUCUCUCCUGCUCCCAGGCAAAGCGAGACUCUCUUAAAGAUGUUUUACAGAGGUGUGCUACUUAAUUAUAUCUAAAUCAUAUAUAUAUAUAUAUAUAACACCUCAGUCUGUUUUUGCUUUAUCUGCUGAAACAUCUGAACUAGUGCUGGGCGGUUUACCAGUUCAUACAAUGUACCUUAAGGGAAUUUAGAACCAUUAUGCAUUUUUCUCAUACCACCAUACCACUAGAGGUGCUGCGGAGCGCUGUGUAGAACAGCACCGCCAAGGAAGCACAGCUCGCUAGGUAACACUAGCCAGUUAGCAUAACAAGCUAACAUUAUGGAGCCUAAACACUUGAGAACCGCACUUUUUUUAUCCCACAGUUGAGCCCAGAAACAGUCCGGAGUACAAAAUCAUUUAUUCAGCAAGUGAUAAAAAAAAAAAAAAAAAUCUUGAAGAGCUGUAACUCUAGCCCUUUUAAAUAUAUCAAUACUGUAGCUUGAAGGAAAGUAUUAAUGCAC